AACGAACGCUGGCGGCAUGCCUAACACAUGCAAGUCGAACGAGACCUUCGGGUCUAGUGGCGCACGGGUGCGUAACGCGUGGGAACCUGCCCUUAGGUUCGGAAUAACUCCCCGAAAGGGGUGCUAAUACCGGACAAUGUCUUCGGACCAAAGAUUUAUCGCCUUUGGAUGGGCCCGCGUUGGAUUAGCUAGUUGGUAGGGUAAAAGCCUACCAAGGCGACGAUCCAUAGCUGGUCUGAGAGGAUGCUCCGCCCCACUGGGACUGUGACACGGCCCAGACUCCGACGGGAGGCAGCAGUGGGGAAUAUUGGACAAUGGGCGAAAGCCUGAUCCAGCACUGCCGCGUGAGUGAUGAAGGCCUUAGGGUUGUAAAGCUCUUUUACCCGGGAUGAUAAUGACAGUACCGGGAGAAUAAGCUCCGGCUAACUCCGU
rnacentral:rRNA from 1 species